rnacentral:rRNA from 1 species
GAUGAACGCUGGCGGCGUGCUUAACACAUGCAAGUCGAACGGAAAGGCCCAAGCUUGCUUGGGUACUCGAGUGGCGAACGGGUGAGUAACACGUGGGUGAUCUGCCCUGCACUUCGGGAUAAGCCUGGGAAACUGGGUCUAAUACCGGAUAGGACCACUUCUUGGAUGUUGUGGUGGAAAGUUUUUUCGGUGUGGGAUGAGCUCGCGGCCUAUCAGCUUGUUGGUGGGGUAAUGGCCUACCAAGGCGUCGACGGGUAGCCGGCCUGAGAGGGUGUACGGCCACAUUGGGACUGAGAUACGGCCCAGAAGCCGACGGGAGGCAGCAGUGGGGAAUAUUGCACAAUGGGCGCAAGCCUGAUGCAGCGACGCCGCGUGGGGGAUGACGGCCUUCGGGUUGUAAACUCCUUUCGCUAGGGACGAAGCGUUUUGUGACGGUACCUGGAGAAGAAGCACCGGCUAACUACGUG